rnacentral:rRNA from 1 species
AACGAACGCUGGCGGCAUGCCUAACACAUGCAAGUCGAACGAGACCUUCGGGUCUAGUGGCGCACGGGUGCGUAACGCGUGGGAAUCUGCCCUUGGGUUCGGAAUAACAGUUGGAAACGACUGCUAAUACCGGAUGAUGACGUAAGUCCAAAGAUUUAUCGCCCAAGGAUGAGCCCGCGUAGGAUUAGCUAGUUGGUGAGGUAAAGGCUCACCAAGGCGACGAUCCUUAGCUGGUCUGAGAGGAUGAUCAGCCACACUGGGACUGAGACACGGCCCAGACUCCUACGGGAGGCAGCAGUGGGGAAUAUUGGACAAUGGGCGAAAGCCUGAUCCAGCAAUGCCGCGUGAGUGAUGAAGGCCUUAGGGUUGUAAAGCUCUUUUACCCGGGGUGAUAAUGACAGUACCGGGAGAAUAAGCUCCGGCUAACUCCGUG